rnacentral:rRNA from 1 species
UACAGAGGGUGCAAGCGUUAAUCGGAAUUACUGGGCGUAAAGCGCACGUAGGCGGUUUUUUAAGUCAGAUGUGAAAGCCCCGGGCGUCAACCUGGGAAGUUGCAUUUGUAAACUAGGAAAACGUAAGAGUGUGUGAGAGGGGGUAGGAAUUCCAAGUGUAGCGGUGAAAUAGCGUAGAGAUUUGGUAGGAAUACCAGUGGCGAAGGCGGCCCCCUCGGNGACAACACUGACGCUCA